GAAAUGCGAUAAGUAAUGUGAAUUGCAGAAUUCAGUGAAUCAUCGAAUCUUUGAACGCACCUUUCGCUCCUUGGUAUUCCUUGGAGCAUGCCUGUUUGAGUAUCAUGAAAUCUUCAAAGUAAAUCUUUUGUUAACUCAAUUGGUUUCUACUUUGGUAUUGGAGGUCUUUGCAGCUUCACACCUGCUCCUCUUUGUUCAUUAGCUGGAUCUCAGUGUUAUGCUUGGUUCCACUCGGCGUGAUAAGUUAUCUAUCGCUGAGGACACUGUAAAAGGUGGCCAAGGUAAAUGCAGAUGAACCGCUUCUAAUAGUCCAUUGACUUGGACAAUACUUUUAUGAUCUGAUCUCAAAUCAGGUAGGACUACCCGCUGAACUUAAGC
rnacentral:misc_RNA from 1 species